rnacentral:rRNA from 1 species
AAACCAUCUUGAGUGGAUGGGUUUUGAUUGGAAGCCUCAUCCUAUUCUUCAAGCCUUCUCCCCCCUUCUCUAGCAUAGCAGCAGCCAGUCAGCAGGAGUACUCCCUCGCUGCCAUCAUCACGAGCUAACUCGAUUAAGCACAGAUAGUGCAUCAAUGGCGUCCACCGCCCAGCUUCUCGGCCACCUCGCCGGCUCCACCACCACAGCCAGCCUUAGCGUCACGCCUGUGGGCGGCGGCAGCAGCAAGGUCAGGUUCCUGCCGGCGAAGGCGCAGAGGCGGCGCGUGGUGGCGCGGCCGCGGGCGGCGGUGUCCGGCGCGGAGAAGGAGAAGGCCAAGCCGGCCGGCAAGGAGGACGAGCGCGUGGUGCAGGUGCACAGCGCGGAGGAGUUCGACAGCGCGCUCCAGAAGGCCAAGAACCGGCUGGUGGUGGUGGAGUUCGCGGCGAGCCACAGCGUGAACAGCAAGCGCAUCUACCCGUGCAUGGUGGACCUCAGCCGCACCUGCGGCGACGUCGACUUCCUCCUGGUCAUGGGCGACGAGUCGGAGGCCACGCGGGAGCUCUGCAAGCGGGAGGGCAUCACCCAGGUGCCGCACUUCUCCUUCUACAAGGGCACCGAGAAGGUGCACGAGGAGGAGGGCAUCGGCCCCGACCAGCUCGCCGGCGACGUGCUCUACUACGGCGACAACCACGCCGGCGUCGUGCAGCUGCACAGCCGGACGGACGUGGAGGCGCUCAUGGCAGAGAACAGCGGCGAGGACGGGAAGCUGUUGGUGCUGGACGUCGGGCUCAAGCACUGCGGGCCCUGCGUCAAGGUCUACCCCACCGUCGUCAAGCUCUCCCGCUCCAUGGCCGACACCGCCGUCUUCGCGCGCAUGAACGGCGACGAGAACGACGCAUGCAUGCAGUUCCUCAAGGACAUGGAGGUCGUCGAGGUGCCUACCUUCCUCUUCAUCAGGGACAAGAAAAUCGUCGGCCGCUACGUCGGCUCCGGCAAGGGGGAGCUCAUCGGCGAGAUCCUCCGGUACCAGGGCGUCAGGGUCACAUACUAAACCAGCAAGCCACCAGCAAUGCUUUAUGUACGUAGUACAACAACGAUACUUGUGAAUUCGGCCAAACGAAAGGAGUGCAGAUAGAAUUACUCCUGUUUACUGCAUGCAUGCGGCAUCAAUCGAUGCUAUACAUAGGUUCAUAUUUAGACAUUUUUAUGCUCUUAAUUAUCUGGUAUUGGGCGCCAAUCACAUACGUUAUAGCAGUAAUAGAAUUUUGGAGUGCAAAUUGUAAUAAGUUUAUAAUGGUUUUAUUGUGAUAUUAUCAUAGCUUUGCCAUCCUACUUUUUUUUAUAGAAGGGCGUAUUUUAUUAUCUCAAAUGUAGCAUCAAGCGAUACAAAGCAUUAUGAAUAACACCCGACCUCUGCAUAACUAAGAUGCAUACAGCCAAUCCCGAAAAGUCCGGCAAAAAGAAAUGAAACUAAACCAACAAAACGACAACAUCGGUAGAGUCCUAUAGACCAACACUAUGCCUACGUCGAAAGUGAUGGUGGAUCAAUCCGGAGGUUAUGCUGCCACUCAUGUUGGGAAAAAACCUCUGUAGCAGCCUGCUCCAACCGCCACUCACGCUGUCGAGUAUUAACAUGUAAGCCGGGUGUCAAAACACGGGUAUUCGUCAAGGCAAGGAAAAACUCGUGGCAAAAAAGAGUGACUCGGCUUAUGGCUGAGUAAACCGGGUGAGCCCUCUAAAAAGCCUUCGGCUUACAUAUAAGACUCGGCAUACUGUACGGAGUUACUGGGCUUACAGCCAAUCCUCGACAAAGUUUGUCG